UGCUGAUCGCUCACUGCUGGGGACAGAAGCUGAGUAAAGACGGGACGAGCAGGAAGCACACACUCUGCACACCAAAGCCCCUGAACUUGCAAGUAGAAGGCAGCAGAAUGUGCCAACCUCCCUCCCUUCUUCCCCCUUCAGGGACAUUCACCAGAGGACGAUGGCCAAAACUGUGAGGUCUGCUCGGCACUUCCAUCCCGGGUAGCAGAGGCCUGAUAUAACCCCAUCAACAUCACCUGGGUUCCAGGCCUGCCUUUGGCAGGUAACUGUACUGCGCAUGAUGAGAAAGGGCCCUCUGGCCGUGUUUUGUGGGCCCACCACUGCCCACAUGCUGAUUCCCCUGGACUACACCCCACCGAGACCCUCGGGAGUGGGUUAAAUCCUUGGAGUGUUCCUCCAGCAUUUACUGCAGUUCUUUUGCUUCAUCCUUGUGUCACUGGUAACAGUGCAGCUUCCUGAGUUCUGGGACAGAUGGAGAGCUGGGCACAGGCCCGGGCCAUCUCCCACUUCCAGUUAUUGCCGGAACAACCCACCUUGGGAACAACGCGGAUGCUAGAAACACUGACAGUGCACACCGCCAACCGCAUCAGGAGGGCCUGGUGUUGUUGCUUCCACGCUUAACGGGAAAUAAAAGGCCUACUAAAACCACCUACAGGAUGCAAAGCCCCACUCAGAGCAGUGGUCUGGAGGUAGUAACUGGAGAAUGUUCUAGCCAGAGAAGCUCCUGGACUUCAGGAUGCAGAAUUAGAGGACAGCAGAGAAGGGAAAGGAGAAGGUUGACUUGUCAACAGAGGCCAAGGAAAUUCUGGGUUUAAAUGAUGUUAUUUCUCUGACUUCAUCUUGCAAAGAAAGCCUCAUGGACACCUCGUUGCAGUCACUUGUGUACCACUUCAUCAUUCUCUUGAUUUUGCCUCGCCAUCCACUGCUGCUACAACCAGGACCACCAACUGUAGACCUACAGAGUUCCCCACGUGGGACGCCGUUUCUUUGACAACACAGAGUGGGACUCCCUCAGGACACCGCUUGGCACAACCGAAACAUGUGGUGAGUUUACACAGAUGGAGCCACCC